UCUGGGUGGUUCCGUAUAUUUUGUUCAACCACCAUCGCCCACUAAAAAUAACCCACCAUCGGCCAUACAUCGUGCGAUAUGGGCUAAGAAGAUAACUACCGUGAAAAAAGAGAUCGAUCUCUCACCUCUAAACCUAGCGCCGCCAUGCCACGCCGCCUCCUUUGCCAAGCUCCUCUCCUUCCUACACCGGACUCGCCAUCCUAGGUCCACCGCCAUGCGCUCGCCGGCCGCCAGCAGCAGCCCCGGGGACGCUGUCCUCCUGGUGGCGGCCCAGCCCCAGUACGGCCGUCCUGCAGGCGGCGGCCCAGCCUCAGGAACACGGUGAUUUGGAGGCCAUGAGGGAUCCUGCGAUCGAGCGCACAAGGCCUGGUCACUGGAUCUUUAGCAACAGCUUGGCCAGUUCAUCGUAGUAUGUCUCUACACUUCAUAUGGUUACAUGACAUCUACCAAACUAGAUUGAACUUCUGCAGUGCAUGUUUACCUCGAUGUGAAAAAACAUCUAUGUACGAAUUUUAAAGGCAGCAACCACAAGGAUAAACUAGAGAGGCAGAGAAAACAAGGAUCUAUUGUUCCACUAUCAACAUGUAGAUACUACAAGUCAUAUAUGUAUCAACUAGUUUGUGAGACAUGUAAUUAUUUUAUAGACGAUGUGUACAAUUGACUUUGUAAACUACUACUGGCUCCCUCUCUCAGUUAUGCUGUAAUACAACAUUAUUAUUUUGUGCGAUGACAUACAAUUUUUUAAUAUAUUCUGAUAUGUAGAUGAGAGUCAAAUUAUUUGGUAUUAGCAAGUAAUUUCAUUAACCGCAAUUGAACAAUAAUUUUUUAUACAAUAUAAAUAGGAUAUAUCAUAUAUGCAGUUGCAUCUAGU